ensembl:lncRNA
CAGAGUGAUUACAAUUGCACUAGAAUUGUUUUUUUUGUAUGAUCUAAGAAUGUAAAUUGUUGAUCUAUAUUUGAAUAAAAAAAAUAAAAAACCCUAGCACCCCUAGCCAUAAAAUUGACAGCAUGCCAACGCGGAUUGCAGAGGUCUUGAAAAAAAUAUAUAUUUGUGUCAUUCUUAACUUUUGCCCGGUGGCCAUUUUGAUGAAUUGUUCAGCAGUCUUAUGGCUUGUGGGUAGAAGCUGUUAAGGAGCCUUUUGGUCGAAGACUUGGCGCUCCGGUACCGCUUGCCAUGCGGUAGCAGAGAAAACAGUCUUUGACUUGGGUGACUGGAGUCUGUGACAAUCUUAUGGGCUUUCCUCGACACCGCCUAUUAUAUAGGUCCUGGAUGGCAGGAAACUUGGCCCCAGUGAUGUACUGGGCCAUACGCACUACCUUCUGUAGCGUCUUACGGUCAGAUGCCAUACCAGGCGGUGAUGCAACCGAUGGCACAGCUGUAGAACUUUUUGAGAAUCUGGGGACCCAUGCCAAAUAUUUUCAGUCUCCUGAGGGGGAAAUGUUUUGUCGUGCCCUCUUCGACUGUCUUGGUGUGUUUGGACCAUGAUAGUUUGUUGGUGAUGUGGACACCAAGGAACUUGAAACUCUCAACCUGCUACAAUUCAGCACCGUCGAUGUUAAUGGGGGCCUGUAGUCCACAAUCAGCUCCCUUGUCUUGCUCACACUGAGGGAGAGGUUGUUGUCCUGGCACCACACUGCCAGUUCUCUGAUCUCCUCCCUAUAGGCUGUCUCAUCGUUGUCUGUGAUCAGGCCUACGACUGUUGUGUCGUCAGCAAACUUAAUGAUGGUGUUGGAGUCGUGUUUGGCCAUGCAGUCGUGGGUGAAAAGUGAGUACAGGAGGGGACUAAGUACACACCCCUGAGGGGCCCCAGUGUUGAGGAUCAGCGUGGCAGACGUGUUGUUGCCUACCCUUACCACAUGGGGGCGGCCCGUCAGGAAGUCCAGGAUCCAGUUGCAGAGACCCUACCAGUCAACACCACCUCGUAAGAUGACGAAGUACAUUGCCUGCUGCAGUUGUUCGAGAGAGGUCCAGUUUCAUGCAACAUAGAAAAGACCAGCAAGGGGACCCUCAGAAACACACAGACAUGCCCUUCCUGUGAGCAUUCCUAUAAAUGGAACAGUGUCGACACUUGAAUCAGUAUCUUUGAGGGGCCAGGAGCUCAUCUACGCUGCCAUGCCCAUCAAUGGGGCGCUGGCAAAGAACUUACCUCCAGCCUCACUUCUUGCCUGCUUACUAAUGGUCAUCAAUGGAGAGAUGCAUCUAUUGACCCAGCACUAGGAGACUUGCAAGAUGAUGUGAUGAAGUCCAGACUGACAUACGGGCUUCAUACUGAUGUCUCUAAAUGGAGAGAGACCUGACACAGCAUGAACAUUUUACUAGACAAAUUUUACUAGUUGUCUUUUUUUAUUAUUGAAUUGUAUCAGUCAAUAUGGGGAGGGAGAAACCCAGUGUAUUCUGCACCAGGAUCAGGUAACUCCUGGUGUAUACAGGACACCAUAUAGGAAGGUAUGACCACUCUGACAUGUUUACCAAGGUAGCCCAAUUAUCACCAGACAAAAUGUUGAUAGGCACAGUAUCUGUAUCGGCAGGGAAUGACAAUGAAUGAUGAAAGGUGCACCUUGUUAUAUUAGCAGGACACUGAUUCUAUGGUUUUAUGUAAAUGGUUGUUUAUUCUACAUGGACCUGUUACUACAUUUGAAUGUUAUCAAAACACUUAGUUUAGAAUAUCUACAUACAUUAUUUUUAUUUACCUUUAUUUAACUUGGCAUUCUUAUUUACAAUGACGGCCUACCAAAAUGCCUCCUGCGGGGAAGGAGGCUGCAAUUAUUAUUAUUAAAAGAAUAAUUAAACACGCAUCAUGACGAGAGACAACACAACACUACAUAAAGCGAGACCUAAGACAACAACAUAGCAUGGCAGCAACACAUGAAAACAAAGCAUGGUAGCAACACAACAUGACAACAACAUGGUAUCAACACAGCAUGGCAGCAGCACAACAUGGUAGCAGCACAAAACAAGGUACAAACAUUAUUGGGCACAGACAACAGCACAAAGGGCAAGAAGGUAGAGACAACAAUACAUCAUGCAAAGCAGCCACAACUGCCAGUAAGAGUGUCCGUCUUUG